AUUGAACGCUGGCGGCAGGCCUAACACAUGCAAGUCGAACGAGCGGCGGACGGGUGAGUAAUGUAUGGGGACUGCCCGAUAGAGGGGGAUAACUACUGGAAAAGGUAGCUAAUACAGCAUCCUAACAGCAAACCCAUAUGGGAUUAGCUUGUAGGGGAGGUAAGGGCUCACCUAGGCGACGAUCCCUAGCUGGUCUGAGAGGAUGACCAGCCACACUGGGACUGAGACACGGCCCAGACUCCUACGGAGGCAGCAGUGGGGAAUAUUGCACAAUGGGCGCAAGCCUGAUGCAGCCAUGCCGCGUGUAUGAAGAAGGCCUUCGGGUUGUAAAGUACUUUCAGUGGGGAGGCGUUACCGACAGAAGAAGCACCGGCUAACUCCGUGCCAGCAGCCGCGGUAAUUC
rnacentral:rRNA from 1 species